AGAGCGAACGCUGGCGGCAGGCCUAACACAUGCAAGUCGAGCGCCCCGCAAGGGGAGCGGCAGACGGGAGAGUAACACGUGGGAACGUACCCUUCAGUUCGGAACAACCCAGGGAAACUUGGGCUAAUACCGAAUACGUCCGUAAGGAGAAAGAUUUAUCGCUGAAGGAUCGGCCCGCGUCUGAUUAGCUUGUUGGUGAGGUAAUGGCUCACCAAGGCUACGAUCAGUAGCUGGUCUGAGAGGAUGAUCAGCCUCACUGGGACUGAGACACGGCCCAGACUCCUACGGGAGGCAGCAGUGGGGAAUAUUGGACAAUGGGCGCAAGCCUGAUCCAGCCAUGCCGCGUGGGUGAUGAAGGCCCUAGGGUUGUAAAGCCCUUUCGGCGGGAAGAUAAUGACGGUACCCGCAGAAGAAGCCCGGCUAACUCGUGCCAGCAGCCGC
rnacentral:rRNA from 1 species